GACAAGGUGGCUUAGUGGUUAGAAUAUUUGAAUUGCACCUCCAGGGUUGCGGGUUCGAUUCCUGCCUCUGCCC